rfam:Pseudomonas sp. 21C1 contig00011, whole genome shotgun sequence.
UUCGAUAGAAAUCAACCCAGGUCAUGGCUGCAACGGUCAUGACACGGAGACCGCCACGCCGGCAGCGGGCUCCAUCGGCAGACCUUCUGCCCGACCUCGCCGUGAGGUCACCAGGACAUAACAGUCAAC